CACAGAUGCGAUUCUCCUCUUGGCCGGAGGAGAAUUAAGAGCAAAGGGCCUAUGGGAGAUACUCUCCCUAAGGGCUCGAUGAAGCUGGCUUAGGGCCGAAAUCCUAAGUCAGCUGAGGGUCGUAUUAC
rnacentral:scRNA from 1 species